rnacentral:rRNA from 1 species
AUUGAACGCUGGCGGCAUGCCUUACACAUGCAAGUCGAACGGUAACGCGGGGCAACCUGGCGACGAGUGGCGAACGGGUGAGUAAUGCAUCGGAACGUGCCCAGUAGUGGGGGAUAGCCCGGCGAAAGCCGGAUUAAUACCGCAUACGACCUACGGGUGAAAGGGGGGGAUCGCAAGACCUCUCGCUAUUGGAGCGGCCGAUGUCAGAUUAGCUAGUUGGUGGGGUAAAGGCCUACCAAGGCUACGAUCUGUAGCUGGUCUGAGAGGACGACCAGCCACACUGGGACUGAGACACGGCCCAGACUCCUACGGGAGGCAGCAGUGGGGAAUUUUGGACAAUGGGCGAAAGCCUGAUCCAGCCAUGCCGCGUGCGGGAAGAAGGCCUUCGGGUUGUAAACCGCUUUUGUCAGGGAAGAAAUCUUCUGAGUUAAUACCUCGGGAGGAUGACGGUACCUGAAGAAUAAGCACCGGCUAACUACGUGCCAGCAGCCGCGGUAA